UUAGUUCGUGGAGUGAUCUGUCUGCUUAAUUGCGUUUCAAAUUUUUAACCGAGGACCGGGUUUUGGUUUGGCUAGUGGUCCUACGAUGACUGUGAACUGUCAUGUCUUCGGAUGUACGACUAUCGGUCUAGGAUCACAUGACUUGCCCCUGGGACUCUUUUGAACGCAACGGACGUGAUUGCAACCCCUUGUUGAGAUUAGAGAUAGUCUCGAUAUUCACUGGCCAAACUGGCUGCUUUAUGCAGUCUUGUUGAAUGGUGGAUAAACUCGGGGGACUGCUGACUAUAACCAUUUCUCAAAACAGAGGAAGGUUGCGGCAAUAACAGGUCUGUGAUGCCCUCAGAUGUCCCGGGCUGCACACGUGCUACAAUGAGUGGCGCAAUGUGCUAAUGUUUUAAGGGAUAAGCGUGCGGCCAGUAGAACGUCGGCAAUUGCCCUGGCGUCUUCUACCGCACGAUUAUCAGCCUUCCCUUAACAGGGCGGGCAACCUUUUCAAAAUACCGGUUUGAUGUUAAAGUAUAGAGUCGUUUUUUUUGGAUGGUGGUUUACGAACCAAUACCAUCCGCAACUGCUCGCGAGUUUGUGGUUCUGGUGACUCAUGGUG
rnacentral:rRNA from 1 species